UAACAAACAGUAACCAAAUGAGACUUUCUCAAAUCUCAUUCGGUUACCAAAAUCUCAAUCGAUAGACAUUAUCGAUUCAACAAACAGUAACCAAAUGUGAUUUUCCCAAAUCCCAUUUGGUUAUCGAUGGUAAUAACAAUAUGUAAUCAAAAAGAGGCAAAUCAAACAUUUCACAACAAACAUGGGGUAAGAAUACACUUAUAAGUAAUAACGGUGAAAUUUAGCAACAUGAUGAUAAAUGAAUACAACAGCAAGGUUAAUAGACA
rnacentral:lncRNA from 1 species